GACGAACGCUGGCGGCGUGCUUAACACAUGCAAGUCGAACGGAAAGGCCCCUUUGGGGGUACUCGAGUGGAGAACGGGUGAGUAACACGUGAGUAACCGGCCCUUGACUUCGGGAUAACUUCAGGAAACUGGGGCUAAUACCGGAUAGGAAUCCUUGCUGCAUGGUGGGGGUUGGAAAGAUUCGGCGGUUUUGGAUGGACUCGCGGCUUAUCAGCUUGUUGGUGGGGUAGUGGCUUACCAAGGCUUUGACGGGUAGCCGGCCUGAGAGGGCGACCGGCCACAUUGGGACUGAGAUACGGCCCAGACUCCUACGGGAGGCAGCAGUGGGGAAUAUUGCACAAUGGGCGGAAGCCUGAUGCAACAACGCCGCGUGCGUGAUGACGGCCUUCGGUUUGUAAACCGCUUUCAGCAGGGGCGAAGCUUGUGGUGACGGUACCUUCAGAAGAAGCACCGGCUAACUACGUG
rnacentral:rRNA from 1 species